rnacentral:rRNA from 1 species
CCAAUAGCGUAUAUUAAAGUUGCUGCAGUUAAAAAGCUCGUAGUUGAAUUUCGGGACCAAUAUGUCGGUCGUGCUUCGGUACGUACUGUCAUUAUUGGUUUCUCCCUUCUGAAGAACCUUGAUGUCAUUAAUUUGGUGUCUUGGGGAAUCAGGACUGUUACUUUGAAAAAAUUAGAGUGUUUAAAGCAGGCUCGCGCUUGAAUACAUUAGCAUGGAAUAAUGAAAUAGGACGUUUGAUUCUAUUUUGUUGGUUUCUAGGAUCGACGUAAUGAUUAAUAGGGAUAGUUGGGGGCAUUAGUAUUCAAUUGUCAGAGGUGAAAUUCUUGGAUUUAUUGAAGACUAACUACUGCGAAAGCAUUUGCCAAGGAUGUUUUCAUUAAUCAAGAACGAAAGUUAGGGGAUCGAAGACGAUCAGAUACCGUCGUAGUCUUAACCAUAAACUAUGCCGACUAGGGAUCGGAUGGUGUUAAUUUUUUAAUGACUCAUUCGGCGCCUUGCG